rnacentral:rRNA from 1 species
UACGUAGGGGGCAAGCGUUGUCCGGAAUUAUUGGGCGUAAAGAGCGUGUAGGCGGUCCGGUAAGUCAGCUGUGAAAGUCAAGGGCUCAACCCUUGAAAGCCGGUUGAUACUGUCGGGCUAGAGUCCGGAAGAGGCGAGUGGAAUUCCCGGUGUAGCGGUGAAAUGCGCAGAUAUCAGGAAGAACACCUGUGGCUAAGGCGGCUCUCUAGUACGGUACUGACGCUGAGACGCGAAAGCGUGGGGAGCGAACAGG